GUCUCUCCUUUUGUCAUCGUCUUGACUUCGUGUAUUUUGGUUUUAGGGGGAAGGAAAAUAAAAAGUAUCAAACGACCAUGUUAAAAACAAAUCUGUACAAUGUGCUGGCCGCGGAUCACCAGCCUUCUCGUCCGUUCUUGUACAAACCGGAAAUGAACCAGGAGCACGCCAGCUACCGCUCCGGGUGCAACGGAAGCCUUCAAAGAAUCGAUCCGAUGGCGGAUGGCGUUUUCCAGUCGGUCAGCUGCACGACAGGGAAAGAAAUUGAUGAAGCUGCUGAAGGUGGUCAGGCCCCGGACUCUACCCCGAGGAACUCCUGCAGAGAUGUUCUGGACCUGAGAUGACUGACCUCCGACCAUCACAACAAUCUGCCGAUGUGCCAGGGCUUGAGAACAGAUAUCAAGGCUAAUGCUGCAGCUUAAUACAGAAGAGAUGUCAGUGAGUCAAGGUGGUCUAUCUUGGAUGAGAUGUUAAGUCAAAGCUAUGCAUAUCUGCUUGGAUGGACAUAAAAGAUCCUGUAACAUUACUUUGAAGAAGUGCCAGGAGAGUUUCUGCAGUAAAAUAAAACCAAAAACUGUGGAUGCUGGACAUCUGCAUUAAAAACAGAAAAUUUUGGAUAAACUCAGCAGAUCUGGCAUCAUCUGUGGAGAGAGAAACAGUUCAUAUUUUUAAGUCAGAUAGAAAAAACAGUCAUAUUGGACUCAAAAUGUUUUCUUCCCACAGAUGUUGCCAGAUCUGUUCAAUUUGUCAAAUGUUUUGUUUUCAUUAUGAGUAAUCUCUACUGCCUCUGCUGAUGUUUAUCCCCCAGUCAACAUACCAAAAGUAGAUUAUCUGGUCAUUAUCAUAUUUUGUUGUUUGUGAACGUGUGAUGACUGGAGAUUCUGUCUGAAAAUUGUUGGUCUUGCACAGCAAGGAGUUGACUUUGACUGAGCAUUGCAGGCUGGCAUUCCAAGGUCCAGGAUUAAAUGCUGAGGGACACACUAAAGCUUGGGGCAUCUGCUGCCAAGGCACAGUGGGGAAAGACACCAUUAAGGUCUUUCUGCUGAAGUUAAAUGGGGAUCCGUUCAGUUAUUGGACCCUCCAACUGCUUCAAGUGUACAGAAAUGUAAUCUUGUACAAUAAGAAAUCCCUUUGGUUUGUUAGUCUGAUAGACUCAAACUCCACUGUCUGUUUCUCCAUAUGCUACUGUAUUGAACCAAACUGCUUUAGUGAUUAUUUAUGCAUAUAAAAAUAUUUUUAUGGUUAUCGUAUAUUAUUGAAAUAUAAAAAGGCUGGAAAUUACAUGGUACAGUUGCCUCACUCAGAUUUGACUGUCAUUUUCUUUUUUAAAUUGAUUUUCAGGUUUUCAGCUUUUCUCUGACCUUCUUAUGAGUUUCGUUAUAGGGUGGCUAGGUUUCACUCCUAACCUAAUUGUGGCUGCUUGAUUCUACUUUCAGGCCAUGACCUCAGAACUACCCGCCUACCUAAAUUUCUUUCUCAGUACAAUCACAAUUAACUCUCUUGCAGCUUUUUGAUUGUUAUUUCAGACUUGUUACAUACCCCUCCAGUGUGUCGCCAGUAAAGAUUUUGCCUUGUGACUUAUGCAUCUUCUGACUCUCGAACCUCUGAUGAUACAUUCCCUUGGUUAAAGAUUUCCUGAUUCCUUGAAUAACUUGAAAUUGCAAGGUAUCUUCAUUCUUCAUUAGUCAUUGUUCUUGGAUUAACUGUCCGCUUUUGCUUGCUGAAAUUCUAAUACUGAAACGAUAACAACUCUCUACAAAUCCUUAAAAUACUCACAAUAUACUAAUAUAUUAGAUGAUCGGGGGGUGGUACGGUGGCUCAGUGGUUAGCGCUGCUGCCUGACAGUGCCAGGGACCGGGGGUUCGAUUCUACCCUGUGUGUAGUUGCACAUUCUCCCUCUGUCUGCACGGAUUUCCUGCAGGUGCUCCAGUUUCCUCCCACAGUCCAAAGGUGUGCAGGUUAGGUGGAUUGGCCUUGCUAAAUUGCCCAUAGGGCUCAGGCUCAUGAAGAUUAGUGGGUGAUUGGGGAUAGGUCUAUUGGGAUGCUGUGAGGGUUGGUGUAGACUUGUUGGGCCGAAGGAUCUAUUUCCACACUGUAGAGAUUCUAUACUUUUAUGAAUACGUAAAAUGCCUUUGCAAAUUAAAAGCCCAUCUGUCAUCAGGCUAAUUUGUUCAAAAAAGUGUUCUGCAGCCUGCAAAGUUAGUGGAUAUGACCAAGAGCUAAAUAUUGACUCAUCUUGAGUGUCAACCAUCAAAAUCAGCAAUACAUUGCAACAAAACAGCUUGACAAGGUGCUAAUGUGCAAGUAGUAAGUAGACCUUAAGGCUCAGCAAACAGCAAUCAAAAAGUCAACCAGAAAAAAAGGAACAUAAAAAGACCAUAAGAACAUAAGAAAUAGGAGUAGGAGUAGGCCAUCUGGCCCCUCAAGCCUGCUCCGCCAUUCAAUAAGUUCAUGGCUGAUCUUUUUGUGGCCUCAGCUGCACUUAACUGCCUGGUCACCAUAGCCCUUAAUUCCUUAUUGUUCAAGCACCUAUGUAUCUAUCAACAAGGUAGCCUCAACUACUAAGCUGGAUAGGGAAUUCCAUAGAUUCACAGUCCCUUGCAUGAAGAAGUUUCUCCUUAACUCAUCCCUAAAUCUGCUCCCCCUUAUUCUGUGGCUAAACUCUGUAGUUCUGGUUUCAUUCAUGAGUGGAAACAACCUUAUGCUUCUAUCUUGUCUAUUCUCUUUAUAGUUUUAUAUGUUUCUAUAAAAGCCCCCCUCAUUUUUCUAAAUUACAAUGAGUAUGGUCCCAGUCUGCUCAAUCUCUCCUCACAAGCCAACUCUGUCAACUCUGGAAUCAACCUGGUGUAUCUUCUCUGCACCCCUUCCAGUACUAGUACAUCCUUUCUCAAGUAAGGAGACCAAAACUGUGCAUAGUACUCCAUAUGUGGCCUUACCAUCCCUCUAGCACUGAAGGACAAUAUUCCAUUUGUCUUCCCAACUACCUGCUGCACCAGCAAACCAACAUUUUGUGAUUCAUACACAAGGACAUCAAGGUCCCUCUGCACAGCAGCAAGCUGCAACUUUUCACCAUUUAAAUAAGAGUCCAUUUUGCUGUUAUUCUUACUGAAAUGAAUGACCUCACAUUUACCAACAUUGUAACUCCAUCUGCCAGACUCUUGUCCACUCACUUUAACCUGUCUACAUCCCUCUGCAGACUUUCAGUGUCCCCUGCACACUUUGCUCUACCACUCAUCUUAGAGUCGUCUACAAACUUUGACACACUACAUGCGGUCCCCAACUCCAAAUAAUCUGUGUAAAUUGUAAACAAUUGCAGUCCCAGCACUGAUCCGUGAUGCACACUAAUAACCAUUGAUCGCCAAUCAGAAAGGCACCCAUUCAUCCCCACUCUUUGCUUUCUGUUAGUUAACCAAUCUUCUACCCAUGCUAAUACAUCACCCAUAACACUUCAUCUUAUACAGCAGCCUUUUGUAAGGCACCUUAUCAAAUGCCUUCUGGAACUCCAGAUAUACCACGUCUACUGAUUCUCCAUUGUCCACUGUGCACGUAAGUCCUCAAAGAAUUUCAGUAAAUAAGUUAGACAUGAUCUGCCUUUCAUGAAUGCAUGCUGCAUCUGCCCAAUGAGACAAUUUCUACCUUUUUGUGGAUAGGGCAUUGGACCAUUUUCCACUAUGCCAGGUAUGUACCAGCGUUGUAUCUGCACUGAAACAGCUUGACUAGGGACAUAAAAACUGAAAGAACUGUGGAUGCUGUAA